rnacentral:rRNA from 1 species
GCUUACGGCCACACCGCCUGGUAUACGCUUGAUCUCGGAAGAUAAGGUAGGUUGGGCCUGGUUAGUACUUGGAUGGGAGACCACCUGGGAAUACCAGGUGCUGUAAGCU